rnacentral:misc_RNA from 1 species
CCCCCGCCGGGCAGGAUGCCGAGGAUCGAGCCCAGCACCGUGCCGCGUAGCACCGCCGGUGCCGAAUCCUUGAUGUCCUUCUUGGUCGGCAUCAGACCGGUGAUCUUCUGCUGCACCAGACUGCGUUCCAUCGACGCGCCGGGAUCGAGAUUGCGGAUGAUCUCCGCAAAGCCGAACAGGCCCAUCGCCACGGUCGCGAAGCCGAGGCCGUCGGCGAGUUCCGGAACGUUGAACGACAUGCGGGACGCGCCGGUCUCGAUGUCGGACCCGACCAUCGACAGCAACACACCGAAGGCAAUCAUCGCGAUGGCCUUGAGCACCGAACCCUUCGCCAAAACGACAGC